CAUCACAAUUAAGCGUGAGGGGUCAGGAAGGGUGGUCAGGAACCUUGUGGAAAGCUCUGGAAGCGGCUCUGAGCGGGAAGAUAAUAAAUCAUUUUAAGUAGGACUUGUACGUACGAAUAUUGACGAAAACUAUGAUUUUUUUUAAAGCUCACAUCUCUGUGGCUUUCCUUAGCCGUGUUAUUACGCCUUCAAUCGCAUAUUCCACCGAAUGCGUCCAGUUUUCCGCCAACAGAUCAUUAAAAACAAUAUCUAACAGCUGCUACAGUAGAGGAGCAGCACCUCUGCGGCGGCGGGGCGUGUAAAACAGUUUGAUACGGGAGCGCACUACCCUGUUACAUCUCCGUCGGAGGCCUACAUACAGCGACAGUGGCAAACAACCCGCUCCCCACCUGCCCCCGCUCGCACCCACGCCAUCAGGACUCCCCCGUGCGUCUCAGGUCUGUCCCGGCAGCGAGUGAGCGAGCGAGCGUGGGGUUCUGGGACACGGAGUCCAGCGGGCGUGCCGCGUGGAGCCGGGAGACGCCGAAGGCGGGGCUCUCACGCCAGGUCACAUCGCCCUCGGGCCCCUGGACCGCGCGUCUAAACCCGGGGCGAGUCAGGGGAUUUCACAUACAGUGACUGGGAAUAGAAGAAGAAAAACAACUUUUUCUUUCUCUUCCUCCCAGACGACCAGUAAGACAACGGAACAUGACGUAAAAAUUGGACAUUGGAUGAAGGAACAAACGAUAACGAGCGAUAAAACGGCGCUUUUAAAGGAGAGCUGCCGUUACGUGACCAGCCAAUGGGAGUGCAGGGUGCAUCUGUUCUUCACUCCGCAGUACAGUGAGUGCACCCGGAAAUAGCGCCCCCUGGCUGCCUUCACGCAGAGCACUGCGCGUUAGCAUUCUUAUCAUCCGGCGGUCUCAUAACCGUCGGCGUGUAAAGACGAGUCUAGAUGGCGGUAAAUCUCGGCUUGGAACACAGGCAUCGAAACCCAGCCAAUAUACCUCUGUGUUUACGUGGAGAGGGAGAAAACAUCACAAAUCAUAAAUCUUUUUUGCAAGCAUGCAGCCAACUAUUCGCUUAAAGCUCUGGCAAAUCUCUCUUGAAUAUACCCACGCACAUUUCCACUUCUUUUUUUGGAAAUGUACAAAAACUUGGGCCUCACUCGGGCCCUUGCAUCAGUCAGUAGGACAGGCGUAAGACUAAAGUUUAUUUCAAAAUUUUAUAAGCAAAACUAUUGCUGGCCAUAUUCUCAGUGAAAGAUUUGUUAAACUAAAUCUACAGACUGAGGGGAUUUGAAAAGAUGAAAGGACAGAUCAUUCUAUU